ACUACACAUUUGAUUUACAAGUGCAAAGUAUUUAUGACCACAAUUUGAGCCCAUACAAAUGGAGCCAAGCCAUGAGGCAGUAGCAGGUAAAUGACAGUGUGUUGUUAAUGCAGCAGAAAGUGUCAGAAUUUUCUUUGUGAAUCAAACAUGUUUAUAAGAUUCUUAGUAAAGUUGUGUGGAAGCGACUUGGUGACCAGGAAAAAAUAUAGUAUAGAUCAUUUUGAGAAUAAAGUCGAAAUUUUGAGAUUUAUUAACUUAUUUGGUCUUUAAAACACAUGGAUGGACCUGAAAUUAAUUGAUUAUUAUUUAUUGGUCUGUUUCUAGAGACGUCGUUCAGGUUGCAGGACUUGGUGGGUAUAUGGUAAAUGCGGCCGGCCACACACGUAAGAAAAUGUUUUGAUGAAUUAUUUCACAGUUUAUGCUAGACUUUAUUUUGGUUUCUGUGUCUGUUUUACAGUUACAUUUACGUUUUAUUUGAAUACUUUAAUAUAAACAAAGUUGUUGUUUUUUUAAUUCUAUAGUAGAUAUACUGUAUGGCAGAUUCCUUGUUUAAAAAUCAUUUGGAAACAUCCAGAAAAAAGACAAAACAUCAUUCUCCUCAAGAUUUUAGUUUUUGAAAGGUUAUGAAUGACUUUUGUUCUUUUUUUUUUUUCUCUAGUCCCUGGCCAACCACCUCAUCUCCAGUGUGCAAACAUGCAUGUUGUUGACUGUAAGCUUACCAGAAACUCUCGAUGUGAUUCAGAUGUGCCGUAUAACAACAGGCUGUGUCUGGAAGAACCUAAUGUAGAUGUACAUGAGGGUGAUUCUGGUGGUGGAGUGAUUUACAACAACAUGAUUUAUGGUGUAAUCAAGAGCACUGGUAAACGUGUCUGUACUGGACCAGUUGUUACUGUAAAAGUCUGUCCUUACAUGAAAUGGAUAAACCAGAAAAUUAAUCCAAAAAGUAAUGGAAAAUAACUGAAUGAAAAUAACAUUCAGAAUAAACAAUCAUCUCUACAUGAAA